CCCUUAGAUGUUCUGGGCCGCACGCGCGCUACACUGAUGCAUUCAACGAGCCUAUCCUUGACCGACAGGUCCGGGUAAUCUUGGAAUCUGCAUCGUGACGGGGAUAGAUUAUUGCAAUUAUUAAUCUUCAACGAGGAAUGCCUAGUAGGCGCAAGUCAUCAGCUUGCGUCGAUUACGUCCCUGCCCUUUGUACACACCGCCCGUCGCUCCUACCGAUUGGGUGUGCUGGUGAAAUGUUCGGAUCGGCCGUUUGUCGCGGUUUCCGCGUCAUGUGGCUGAGAAGUUCAUUAAACCCUCCCACCGAGAGGAAGGAGAAGUCGUAACA
rnacentral:rRNA from 1 species